UACGAAGGGGCUAGCGUUGCUCGGAAUCACUGGGCGUAAAGCGCACGUAGGCGGCUUCUUAAGUCAGGGGUGAAAUCCUGGAGCUCAACUCCAGAACUGCCUUUGAUACUGAGAAGCUUGAGUCCGGGAGAGGUGAGUGGAACUGCGAGUGUAGAGGUGAAAAUUCGUAGAUAUUAGGAAGAACACCAGUGGCGAAGGCGGCUCACUGGUCCGGUACUGACGCUGAGGUGCGAAAGCGUGGGAGCAACAGGG
rnacentral:rRNA from 1 species